rnacentral:lncRNA from 1 species
AUACAUGGUACACUGCCACAUACAUGCAUGCACACAUGCACACCUACACGUAUACACAUGGCACAGUGCCACAUACAUGCAUGCACACACAUACACACCUGCACACGUAUAUACAUGGCACACUGCCACAUACAUGCAUACACAGACACCUGCACAUGUACAUACAUGUGCACACUGCCACAUACAUGUGUGCACACACAAUCUAGGAGAAAGAGCCCUCAAGCAUACAGGGAGGCAUUAGAGUGGAGCGAUUAAGGGAAGGCGUUUUCGC